rnacentral:rRNA from 1 species
GCAUGGGUAACGUACCCCGGGCACCGGGAUAGCAGCGUCUGCUUCGGCAGACUACCGAAAGGGCUGGUAAUACUGGAUGCUGUCAGGAACACUACGGUGUUUUUGAUCAAAGGUUGGGGAUCCACUUCGGUGGACCUAAUGGCCUGGGAGCGGCCCAUGUUCCAUCAGCUUGUUGGUAAGGUAACGGCUUACCAAGGCUGCGACGGAUACCGGGGCUGAGAGGCUGAUCCGGCACAUUGGGACUGAGACACUGCCCAGACCCCCACGGGGGGCUGCAGUAACGAAUCUUCCGCAAUGGGCGAAAGCCUGACGGAGCGACGCCGCGUGUGGGAUGANUUCCCUCGGGAUGUAAACCACUGUCAGGGCCAUGGAAGCAAUCCGCAGCAAUAUAGCGGGGCGCUGACCUAACCCAGAGGAAGCCACGGCUAACUUCGUGCCAGCAGCCGCGGUAAUACGAAGGUGGCAAGCGUUGUUCGGAAUAACUGGGCUUAAAGAGCACGUAGGCGGCUGGUCUAGCAUUUUGUGAAAUCCCUCGGCUUAACCGAGGAAUUGCGAGGUGAACUGGCCGGCUUGAGCUGCAGAUGGGUGACUGGAACUCUAGGUGGAGUGGUGAAAUGCGUAGAUAUCUAGAGGAACGCCAGUGGUGAAAACGGGUCACUGGCUGCAUGCUGACGCUGAGGUGCGAAAGCGUGGGUAGCGAACGGGAUUAGAUACCCCGGUAGUCCACGCCGUAAACGAUGGGCACUAGGUUCGGGGAAGUUUGACCUUUUCCGGGCCGAAGCUAAAGUACUAAGUGCCCCGCCUGGGGAGUACGGUCGCAAGGCUAAAACUCAAAGGAAUUGACGGGGGCUCACACAAGCGGUGGAGCAUGUGGCUCAAUUCGAGGCAACGCGAAGAACCUUAUCCUGGGCUUGACAUGGUUGGAUGCCCUCGUCGAAAGGCGAGUAAGCUGCCUUCGGGUGAAACUACCACAGGUGCUGCAUGGCUGUCGUCAGCUCGUGCUGUG